rnacentral:rRNA from 1 species
CCUACGGGUGGCAGCAGUGGGGAAUAUUGGACAAUGGGCGAAAGCCUGAUCCAGCCAUGCCGCGUGUGUGAAGAAGGCCUUCGGGUUGUAAAGCACUUUCAGUGGGGAAGAAAGCCUUGGGGCUAAUACCCUCGAGGAAGGACAUCACCCACAGAAGAAGCACCGGCUAACUCCGUGCCAGCAGCCGUGGUAAUACGGAGGGUGCGAGCGUUAAUCGGAAUUACUGGGCGUAAAGCGCGCGUAGGCGGUCUGAUAAGCCGGUUGUGAAAGCCCCGGGCUCAACCUGGGAACGGCAUCCGGAACUGUCAGGCUAGAGUGCAGGAGAGGAAGGUAGAAUUCCCGGUGUAGCGGUGAAAUGCGUAGAGAUCGGGAGGAAUACCAGUGGCGAAGGCGGCCUUCUGGACUGACACUGACGCUGAGGUGCGAAAGCGUGGGUAGCAAACAGGAUUAGAUACCCCUGUAGUC